CCAAAAAUAUAUUAGACAAAAAUAAAUAUAUCGAACUUCUUCUAAUCGUAAAGGAACGUAUAAACUCAGAAGACGGGGGAGAAGAGAGAGGGUUCGAAGAAGAUACUUGGGCAAAACCAAGAAGAGAGGGUUAACCCAGAAGGCUUUGGCUUUGGCUUCUAAUCAAAGUGAACCCAGAAGGUUUCAUCAAAAGAGAGAAGUUUGGAGGGAGCUCAAUCUCAUCUCUCUGAAUCGUCUCAUCGAAGAAGGGUUACCUGAUUUGUGCUAGGUUGUUGCUGGAAAGAAAAUUUGUAUCAGGUUGGCAACCUGGAAUCCAAGAAAGGGUAGCUGAUUGGGAUGAAAAUUUGGACAAGUUUGAAGAUUAAGAAAGUCACAAUCAAGAAGAUGGAUAUACAAGUUUCAAAGGAAUUUCUUGCUAAACUGAAGGUAUAG